UAACAUGCAAAUACGACAAGGAAAACUGGAGUGAUUGUGAUAACACAACAAACCCAGUGAACCAAGUUAUGACAUAAAGGGAAGGAGAAGAAGAAAAUGCGAACCAACAAUAAUGGUUACCAUUUCAUGAACAAAGUUUGAGCGUAUUCAACAGUGGAAAGCAAGAAAAAUGGAGCGCAAAAAUGAAAAAAAAGAAAAUAAAAUGUUUAUUAAAGAACAGAAAAAUAUUUGCAAAGAAAAUAAAGAGAUAGUAAAAGAACAGCGUAGACGUAGGUAAACAAGUAAACAAAACGAAAUAAACAAAUAUAAAAGAAGAAAAACGAAAAAUGUGAUUCCCAUAACACAAAAUUCCAAGUUACGAAAGCAAAAGUGGAUUCAAGAAUAAAAAAAAAGUAGAUAUGCAAAUGAUGGAAUUUCAAAAUAUAUUUUUAUAAAUUAUGCAAUGAUUUAUUUCUAAGCAGUUCCUGCUAAGGGCCCGAUGUUUGUCAUAAAUUAAGGAGAUGCGGGUUUUAUCUUCGAUUCCAACUUUUUUAAAAUAAAGAAGAUGUGGUAUGAUUGCCAUUGAGACAACUCUCCACAAGAGACUUAAAUGACACGGCAAUUAAAGGGAAAUUCCGCGAUUUUUUACUUAUCAUCUAAUUAUGUUCAUCUUAACAUAAAAAACCAUUUGCAAAGUUUUUUAUAUUCCUUCUAAUAAACGAGAAAAUCAAGUAUUUGAAACUUUUUUGAUUGAAUUCUCGAUUGUUUAGCCCGAUUUAUUGAAUGUGAAAAAUUAAAAUGUUAACUCUAAUUAAGCGCACAGCUGACGAAUGGUCGAAGUUAUUAACCACAAUAUAAGAAUGAACGAAAAUUGAUUGAAUUAAACUCCUAUAAAAUUAUCUCUAGUAAAUGUUUUUGAAUAAAUUUAAUUAAUUAUUGUCGGAUUUUUUUCAUAAAAUAUUUAUGAACAUUUUUACUGAUAUUGAACUGAAAAUAUUUCAUUCUAUUUUACCGUUUUGUUUUGAUAAUCAUUUCAAUGCAACUAAUGUGUGAGCUGGUAUUUUUUGUAAAGGUCACUGUAUAUUUCUCGGCUUGAGGUAAUUCGUUUACUCUGUUUCAGGUGUGAGUUCAAGCGUACACAGGUAAUGUUUGUUAUUUUAUUUUAGAAAGAGUUGCUGUCACGAUGUUAAUACGCUAAGAUUUAAUACAUUGAUGUGUCAAUAAUUUAAAUUGUGUAAUUAAUUGAAAAUAAAAUCAGAUUCGUAUUUUUAUAAAAAUAAAAAUGUUUGAUUACUUUUUAGCGGCAAUGGCGUAAAGAUUCAAAUAUGAAGCAAAAAUAGUAGUUUUAAUCUUUUAUAAAAACUAAAUGCAUAUUUACCCAAAUUUUAUACAUUGUACAUCUGUUUGAUUCAUUGACUUUACGGAAUUUCUUAUUGUAUCAAAUCUGGCUGUUUAAAUGCUAAAUAAAACUAUUGCAAUUUUAAAGUUUUUAAGUUGACAAAAUAAUACAACAUACAACAUGCAUGAUUUUUUUUUUUCUUUUUUUAACUUUUUUUACAUAAUUGAAAUUCAUUUGACAAUCAUUUACACAACUUUUUGUGAAAAGAAUCAAUUAUCUAAGCUAAGGAUUAUUUCUUUGAGGAUUUUUUUUUAAAUUCUAUUUGGGGUUUGGUGAAUGUGAACAUGAUAGCGUCAUUAAUCAAUAAUAAUACAGUGGUAAUAAAGUUAUUUUGCAUGCAUAACUGGAUAUUUGACGAAUUUAUAAUAUCGUCAUAUCGUGUUCUUGAAACAAUCAUUAAGUAUACAUGUACCUUAAGAGCCAUUGAGGAUGAGUCAGACCAGUGGCGUUUGUUUUGUUUAAAUGUGCCGCUUGUACAGAUAAACGACAGAAUACCAUACAAGCAUUUAUAGCAACAUCAUUUAGACGGGGAAAUGAAGGCUUCCAAGACUGACAUGUCUAACUUGACAGUAAAAACUAUCGACAUCGACCGCUUGUUCUUGAUAUUUGAAACUGCAUGCAUAUAUACGUAUACGUUUAUGAUUGUGAUGAGUUCUUGCGACUGACAAAAACUAAAUAUCCUUAUGGUUAUUUGCCAUACGUUUAUAUUGGUUUGUAAGGAUUACUCAAAUUUUUUUUCCUGUUUGUGAGAUGUAGAUUCAUUUCAAUACAGAAAUGUCUAUAUAUUUCACAAGUGUAUAACACGGAGAAGCUCUGAAGGUCAUUACUCCCAUUUUGUUUGGGUGUGAACCAUCGAUGUUUACAGCAAAUCACAGAAUAAUUGAUGGUAGAAAGACUAUGGCGUCAUGUGGCAAAUAUUACAUGCAUAUCGGACAUGAGUUGCAAUCUGUAUGAAAAGAUUUCCCAUAACACCAUAUUAUGAGAAGGAAUGUUUACAUGCUAUCUCUCGUACUAGUAUUACAGGGUUCUUGUGGCGUUCACCUUAGACAAAUCUUUUUAACGAUGUUUAAAAAAGACAGAAAAUUUAAUGUCAUAUUUCCCUAUUUUUUAAUAGAACUAAAAGUCUUUUAUCUGACAAGAAUACCCUAGUUAGCAACAAGUAAUUUAUUCUUUUUUCUGUUAUUGAAUACCAAGAAAAGAAAUAAAAUCCCGCGAAAUUAAUUUGAAACUUUGAUACUCAAAGUUUCCCAGCAAAAUAUCAAUUCCCUGGGAUAAUGGUUUCGUCAGUGGAUAUAUAAAUUGUGAUGACGAAUUACUUCCUUUGUUCGAGAACAAUCUUAUUGAAAUUAAUCUGUGAUUUUACUAGUCCCACAGCUUCAAUGAACCAAAGCAAAAGUUAUACAAUCGACUGUAUUUAAAUCAAAUUGGUUCUCUUCUCUCUGGUAUAUACAAUAGUCUAUCGACAUUCGAUGAUUACAUACUGUUGGCAUACGUGGACUAGUCUAUUUACAACACUUUUACCCCUAUUUAUUCAAAAUAUAUUGUUUUUUCUAUGUUCAUGUAUACAUGUAUAUAUUUAAAAUUGCGCUAUAGUUCGUAACUUUCUAUCCAGUCGUAUAAACGAAUCGUCGGCAAGUGCGACAUUUUUUUAAAUCAAUAUUUCUGGUCUGUUCCAAUCUGCCUUCACUAUUGACAAUGACUAUAUAUUACAUUUUCCCAAAUUCACCCUUGAAAAAAGUAUUUAAAUAGAUUUUAAUUUCAUCAAAUCUUAUUUUUUUGGGUAUUAUUUAUAGUUUAUGAAUUAUAUUCUUUACACCAGAAUGUUAUUAUAAACAAGCGUAUGAGUUUAGUAAUGACAAGUAAGACAGAGUUGUAUAUUAUUCAUCUGAUAGUUCAAAAUGGAAAGUUUAAGUUAUAAGUUAUCCGUGUACACUGAUCAAUACUUUGCAGAAGUGAAACAGCAUGAACUUGUAAGCCCGACAGGAAAUCGUUGAAUACCUGGACGUGUCACUCACACCCCUACAAUACUUUGGAAGUAAUACUUUAGCCAUGCUGGUGAUCAGAUGAGGGAAGAAUCAAAUAUAUUUGUUUGUUACUUUAAAGAAUUAUGAACAAAUUAGAUUUUCGAAAACAAUUUUCACGGAACACUUAUUUAUGAUUUCAACUUUGACUUUUCACCUAAUUCCAAUAUCAACAGUUUAAAAACAACAAACCAUGGUAAUUUAAAAAAAGUAAGAAUAUUUUCGUAUCAAGUUAGUUAGUCGGAUAAAACAACCGUACGAUUGACAGAUAUCGACCGCAAUUACGACUACAUCGGUUAUAGUUUUGUUCUUUGUGGUUUAUAGACAUAUCGUUUUUAUUAAUCGGAAAAAAGACAAAUGGCGGAUCGCAGAGAAUUGAUACUCUAAAUUUAAAUCGAUGGUGAUCGCUAUCUAGCGGAAUAAAACUUAAAUAUCUAUGAAUUUGAUCAUUUUUAUACAGAAUGAACAUAAUAUCAAUUUUUGAUUUUUUUGCGAAGUUUCCCUUUAACAACUAUAGGUCACCAUAUGGCCUUCAACAAAAAGCAAAGCCCCUACCACAAGGUCAGCUAUAAAAGCAUAGUUUUCAACAAUACGCAGUAUUUAAAAAAAAAAAUGUCAAGCAAUUAGUUAUCACGCAGUUUGAAAAACUGGUUUUAUUUUUUUCAUGUUUGUUUUUUAUUCUACAGUAAAAAUAUUGUUUCAUAAUUUAUCUUAAAUAUUAUGCAAUCUAGCUUUUUUUUUUGAAAGGAAACAUAGAUUUUCCGUUGCUUAAUAACAUAAGUACAUCUUAUCAAAAUUGUACAACAGAUUAUGAUUUUUUCUGAUUAUUUCGAUUAACAACAUCAUCUCUUAAUUUUUUAGGUUCAAUGCAUACAUGAAAAGACUCUAUGUAUUCAAAGACAGGCCUUUGCAUGCUUUUGUAUUAUAUUUUAUGAAUAUAAGAGUAUAUUGACAUAUCUGUGUUCAGACGGAUGCAGUUUUGAUGUUAUUUUCAGUGAAUGUGAUCCUAAAACUAAAAUGUUUACAAAAUCUUACAUACUAACAACAGAUGACGAUGAUUCGUGUGAAAACAGAUCAUUUGAAUAUUCAUGUGAUUUCCAUGAAAGACUAAUUGAAAAGACGAGAAAACGUCAAGACAAAAGAGCUAACAGAAAAAUCUUACAUACUAACAACAGAUGACGAUGAUUCGUGUGAAAACAGAUCAUUUGAAUAUUCAUGUGAUUUCCAUGAAAGACUAAUUGAAAAGACGAGAAAACGUCAAGACAAAAGAGCUAACAGAAAAA
rnacentral:lncRNA from 1 species